GAUGAACGCUGACAGAAUGCUUAACACAUGCAAGUCAACUUGGACUUCGGUUUGGGUGGCGGACGGGUGAGUAACGCGUAAAGAACUUGCCUCACAGAUAGGGACAACAUUUGGAAACGAAUGCUAAUACCUGAUAUUAUGAUUUUAGGGCAUCCUAGAAUUAUGAAAGCUAUAUGCGCUGUGAGAGAGCUUUGCGUCCCAUUAGCUAGUUGGAGAGGUAACGGCUCACCAAGGCGAUGAUGGGUAGCCGGCCUGAGAGGGUGAUCGGCCACAAGGGGACUGAGACACGGCCCUUACUCCUACGGGAGGCAGCAGUGGGGAAUAUUGGACAAUGGACCAAGAGUCUGAUCCAGCAAUUCUGUGUGCACGAUGAAGUUUUUCGGAAUGUAAAGUGCUUUCAGUUGGGAAGAAAAAAAUGACGGUACCAACAGAAGAAGUGACGGCUAAAUACGUGCCAGCAGCCGCGGUAAUACGUAUGUCACAAGCGUUAUCCGGAUUUAUUGGGCGUAAAGCGCGUCUAGGUGGUUAUAUAAGUCUGAUGUGAAAAUGCAGGGCUCAACUCUGUAUUGCGUUGGAAACUGUGUAACUAGAGUACUGGAGAGGUAAGCGGAACUACAAGUGUAGAGGUGAAAUUCGUAGAUAUUUGUAGGAAUGCCGAUGGGGAAGCCAGCUUACUGGACAGAUACUGACGCUGAAGCGCGAAAGCGUGGGUAGCAAACAGG
rnacentral:rRNA from 1 species